CAUGCGAAGGAACCGGUUUGUCGGGAGCCGGUGCUGGAGAACUCUUGGGUUGAGGAGCAUCCACUCUCUGCAUGUGGGUCGUCUCCAUUGCCUCAUCUGUCGUCUGCGUUUCGGGAUCAGUGACGUCACCUUCCGAGGUACAAACCGAAGCAGUGAGAAAUACAACGAAAGUCUACCGACUCAAAAAUAUACCUCACAGUUUGAUCAACACACCUCCUAUACAACGGGCAAAAUGUCAUCGACCAAAAAUAAAAAUGAAGAAACGGAGAUUUCUUAUAAAUCAUCUAUGUUCGGGAACUACAUCCAUAUUCUAAUACAUGUACUUUGAUGAUGAUUAAAAUGUACAUUUAGAUUUUAUGAAAUAAGAACGUAUUGGGAAAAGUUGACAGCGAUAGAAAAGAUUGAGAAAAUAGUUCUAAAUAAAAAUUACUCACGUU